rnacentral:rRNA from 1 species
CCUUCGGGUGGCAGCAGUAGGGAAUCUUCCACAAUGGGCGAAAGCCUGAUGGAGCAACGCCGCGUGGGUGAAGAAGGUCUUCGGAUCGUAAAACCCUGUUGUUAGAGAAGAAAGUGCGUGAGAGUAACUGUUCACGUUUCGACGGUAUCUAACCAGAAAGCCACGGCUAACUACGUGCCAGCAGCCGCGGUAAUACGUAGGGGGCAAGCGUUAUCCGGAUUUAUUGGGCGUAAAGGGAACGCAGGCGGUCUUUUAAGUCUGAUGUGAAAACCUUCGGCUUAACCGGAGUAGUGCAUUGGAAACUGGGGGACGUGAGUGCAGAGGAGGGGAGGGGAACACCAUGUGUGGCGGUGAGAUGCGUAGAGAGAUGG